rnacentral:rRNA from 1 species
CACGUAGUUAGCCGGCGCUUCUUCUGCAGGUACCGUCACUCUCGCUUCUUCCCUACUGAAAAGAGGUUUACAACCCGAAGGCCGUCAUCCCUCACGCGGCGUCGCUGCAUCAGGCUUUCGCCCAUUGUGCAAUAUUCCCCACUGCUGCCUCCCGUAGGAGUCUGGGCCGUGUCUCAGUCCCAGUGUGGCCGGUCGCCCUCUCAGGCCGGCUACCCGUCAUCGUCUUGGUGAGCCAUUACCUCACCAACAAACUGAUAGGCCGCGAGUCCAUCCUUCACCGAUAAACUCUUUCCCAACCCCACCAUGCGACAAGGGUUCAUAUCCGGUAUUAGCCACGUAUUUCCCGAGGUUAUCCCGAAGUGAAGGGCAGGUUACUCACGUGUUACUCACCCGUUCGCCACUAAUCAGACCGUGCAAGCACGGUCGUCAUCGUUCGACUUGCAUGUGUUAAGCACGCCGCCAGCGUUCGUCCUGACGCCAGGACUCAAACUC